GCCACUGCUAUUGGGGUUCGGCUAAGCCAUGCGAGUGGAGGGCGUCCCGCAAGGGAUGGCCCCGCGGACGGCUCAGUAACACGUCGUCAACCCACCUUAGGGUGGGGGACAACCUCGGGAAACUGAGGAUAAUCCCCCAUAGGCGGGGGAGGCUGGAAUGCGCCCCCGCUGAAAGCUCAGGCGCCCUAGGACGGGACGGCGGCCUAUCAGGUAGUUGGUGGUGUGACG
rnacentral:rRNA from 1 species